rnacentral:sRNA from 1 species
GAGGUACAGCCCCGUGGUGGAGGCCGGCUCGGACAUGGUCUUCCGGUGGACCAUCAACGACAAGCAGUCCCUGACCUUCCAGAACGUGGUCUUCAAUGUCAUUUAUCAGAGCGCGGCGGUCUUCAAGCUCUCACCCGAGGACGCUGCCAUGGCUGUGGGUGAGUGGAGGGAGGGACGCCAAGCAGGGGCAGGCCUCUCACCUGCCACCUGGGCCCACUGACGCCUGUCCCUGCAGCUGACGGCCUCCAACCACGUGAGCAACGUCACCGUGAACUACAACGUCACCGUGGAGCGGAUGAACAGGAUGCAGGGCCUGCGGGUCUCCACAGUGCCGGCCGUGCUGUCCCCCAAUGCCACGCUGGCACUGACGGCGGGCGUGGUGGUGGACUCGGCCGUGGAGGUGGCCUUCCUGUGGACCUUUGGGGAUGGGGAGCAGGCUCUCCACCAGUUCCAGCCUCCGUACAACGAGUCCUUCCCGGUUCCAGACCCCUCGGUGGCCCAGGUGCUGGUGGAGCACAAUGUCACGCACACCUACGCUGCCCCAGGUGCUGAUCCGGAGUGGCCGGGUGCCCAUUGUGUCCUUGGAGUGUGUGUCCUGCAAGGCACAGGCCGUGUACGAAGUGAGCCGCAGCUCCUACGUGUACCUGGAGGGCCGCUGCCUCAAUUGCAGCAGUGGCUCCAAGCGAGGGCGGUGGGCUGCACGUACGUUCAGCAACAAGACGCUGGUGCUGGAUGAGACCACCACGUCCACGGGCAGCGCAGGCAUGCGACUGGUGCUGCGGCGGGGCGUGCUGCGGGACGGCGAGGGAUACACCUUCACGCUCACGGUGCUGGGCCGCUCUGGCGAGGAGGAGGGCUGCGCCUCCAUCCGCCUGUCCCCCAACCGCCCGCCGCUGGGGGGCUCUUGCCGCCUCUUCCCACUGGGCGCUGUGCACGCCCUCACUACCAAGGUGCACUUCGAAUGCACGGGUUGGCAUGACGCGGAGGAUGCUGGCGCCCCGCUGGUGUACGCCCUGCUGCUGCGGCGCUGUCGCCAGGGCCACUGCGAGGAGUUCUGUGUCUACAAGGGCAGCCUCUCCGGCUACGGAGCUGUGCUGCCCCGGGUUUCAGGCCACACUUCGAGGUGGGCCUGGCCGUGGUGGUGCAGGACCAGCUGGGAGCCGCUGUGGUCGCCCUCAACAGGUGAGCCAGGCCGUGGGAGGGCGCCCCCGAGACUGCCACCUGCUCACCACCCCCCUCUGCUUGUAGGUCUCUGGCCAUCACCCUCCAGAGCCUAACGGCAGUGUAACGGGGCUCACAGUCUGGCUGCACGGGCUCACCGCUAGUGUGCUCCCGGGGCUGCUGCGGCAGGCCGAUCCCCAGCACGUCAUCGAGUACUCGCUGGCCCUGGUCACCGUGCUGAACGAGUACGAGCAGGCCCUGGACGUGGCGGCAGAGGCCAAGCACGAGCGGCAGCGCCGAGCCCAGAUACGCAAGAACAUCACGGAGACUCUGGUGUUCCCUGCGGGUCCACACUGUGGAUGACAUCCAGCAGAUCGCUGCUGCGCUGGCCCAGUGCAUG